AUUGAACGCUGGCGGCAGGCCUAACACAUGCAAGUCGAGCGGAUGAGUGGAGCUUGCUCCAUGAUUCAGCGGCGGACGGGUGAGUAAUGCCUAGGAAUCUGCCUGGUAGUGGGGGACAACGUUUCGAAAGGAACGCUAAUACCGCAUACGUCCUACGGGAGAAAGUGGGGGAUCUUCGGACCUCACGCUAUCAGAUGAGCCUAGGUCGGAUUAGCUAGUCGGUGAGGUAAAGGCUCACCAAGGCGACGAUCCGUAACUGGUCUGAGAGGAUGAUCAGUCACACUGGAACUGAGACACGGUCCAGACUCCUACGGGAGGCAGUAGUGGGGAAUAUUGGACAAUGGGCGAAAGCCUGAUCCAGCCAUGCCGCGUGUGUGAAGAAGGUCUUCGGAUUGUAAAGCACUUUAAGUUGGGAGGAAGGGCAGUAAGUUAAUACCUUGCUGUUUUGACGUUACCAACAGAAUAAGCACCGGCUAACUUCGUGCCAGCAGCCGCAGUAAGAC
rnacentral:rRNA from 1 species